rnacentral:rRNA from 1 species
AUUGAACGCUGGCGGCAGGCCUAACACAUGCAAGUCGAACGAGUGGCGGACGGGUGAGUAAUAUAUCGGAACGAGCCCAGUAGCGGGGGAUAACUACUCGAAAGAGUGGCUAAUACCGCAUACUAUUGGAGCGGCCCAUAUCUGAGUAGCGAGUUGGUGGGGUAAAGGCUCACCAAGGCAACGAUCCGUAGCUGGUUUGAGAGGACGACCAGCCCCACUGGGACUGAGACACGGCCCAGACUCCUACGGGAGGCAGCAGUGGGGAAGUUUGGACAAUGGGGGAAACCCUGAUCCAGCCAUCCCGCGUGUAUGAGAAGGCCUUCGGGUUGUAAAGUACUUUUGGCAGAGAAGCGGUAUCUGCAGAAUAAGCACCGGCUAACUACGUGCCAGCAGCCGCGGUAAUUC